rnacentral:tRNA from 1 species
AGUUCAAGCAAAAUUUUUGAUUUUAGGAAUCAAAUUGGGCUAUCCCUUGAAUUA